rnacentral:rRNA from 1 species
UACGGAGGGUGCAAGCGUUAUCCGGAUUCACUGGGUUUAAAGGGUGCGUAGGUGGCUUUGUAAGUCAGUGGUGAAAUCUCGGAGCUUAACUCCGCAACUGCCAUUGAUACUGCUUAGCUUGAAUCAAGUAGAGGUGGAUGGAAUAUUACAUGUAGCGGUGAAAGUCUUAGAUAUGUAAUAGAACACCGAUUGCGAAGGCAGUUCACUAUGCUUGUAUUGACACUGAGGCACGAAAGCGUGGGGAUCAAACAGG